rnacentral:rRNA from 1 species
GAGUGCGAUCAUGCCAGCUCUAAUGCACCGGAUUCCAUCAGAAUGCCGUAGUUAAGCGUGCUUGGGCGAGAGUAGUACUAGGAUGGGUGACCUCUCAGGAAGUCCUCGUGUUGCACCCC